GGGGGCGAAAGGAUCUCGACAUGGAGUUGAUGUUUAAACCAGCAGGUGAGUUUGAGAGAACUCUAAAACUCUUAAAAAUUUUAAAAUGCCAACACAAAUUAUUCUUACGCAGUAGCUUAGGCGCUCUGCCAGUUUGAAGAAGUUUGGUUUCCUUGGCUCUUCAAACUGAGGCGUAAAGGAAAAUAGUUCUUAUCCACUCCUCAUGGAUAAGAAUGAAAAAAAGAGGAUACGCCCUGAAAUUCUUUGCCUGUUAAGGAUAAAGGGAAGAGAAAAAAAUAACAGGAUAAACCUGUAGAAGGUUUAAAAGGAGAUUCCAUGGACGCGGGUUCAAUUCCCGCCGCCUCCACCA
rnacentral:tmRNA from 1 species